rnacentral:rRNA from 1 species
AUGCGCCGCCGGCCCAAGACCAAGAUCGUCUGCACGCUCGGCCCGGCCUCCCGCUCCGUCGACAUGAUCGAGAAGCUGCUGCGCGCCGGCAUGUGCGUCGCCCGCUUCAACUUCUCCCACGGCUCCCACGACUACCACCAGGAGACGCUCGACAACCUGCACGCCGCCAUGGACCGCACCGGGAUCCUCUGCGCCGUCAUGCUCGACACCAAGGGUCCAGAGAUCCGUACUGGAUUUUUGAAAGAUGGGAAGCCUAUCCAGUUGAGGAAGGGCCAAGAAAUUGUGAUCUCCACAGAUUAUAGCAUAAAGGGGGACGGCAAGAUGAUAUCGAUGAGCUAUAAGAAGCUAGCAGUUGAUCUGAAGCCAGGCAGUGUCAUAUUAUGCGCUGAUGGUACCAUCACUCUUACAGUGCUUCAUUGUGACAAAGAGCAAGGUCUCGUUCGCUGCUGUUGUGAGAACACUGCUAUGCUUGGUGAGAGGAAGAAUGUCAAUCUUCCAGGGGUCGUUGUUGAUCUGCCAACACUCACUGAAAAGGACAGGGAGGAUAUCCUUCAAUGGGGCGUCCCGAACAAGAUUGACAUGAUUGCUUUGUCGUUUGUCCGCAAAGGUUCAGAUCUUGUGGAGGUCAGGAAGGUACUUGGGGAGCAUGCCAAGUCAAUAAUGCUGAUGUCAAAGGUACGCCAUUCUCUCUCUUUUUUUUGUGGGUAUUACACUCGUGCACUUCCACCUAGCAGAUCAUUAAGAGUUAACUUGAAUGUGCAGGUUGAGAACCAGGAAGGAGUAGCUAACUUUGACGAUAUCCUGGCACAGUCUGAUGCUUUUAUGGUGGCAAGAGGUGAUUUGGGGAUGGAAAUUCCUGUAGAGAAGAUCUUUUAUGCACAGAAGGUGAUGAUUUUCAAGUGCAACAUUCAGGGCAAGCCAGUUGUGACUGCAACCCAGAUGUUGGAGUCUAUGAUCAAGUCUCCUCGGCCUACUCGAGCGGAAGCAACUGAUGUGGCCAACGCAGUUCUUGAUGGCACUGACUGUGUGAUGCUCAGUGGUGAGACAGCGGCUGGGGCUUAUCCAGAACUGGCAGUGCAAACUAUGGCCAAGAUCUGCUUGCAGGCCGAGUCAUGCGUGGACUAUUCUGCUGUUUUUAAAUCAAUCAUGUCAUCAGCCCCGAUUCCCAUGAGCCCAUUGGAGAGCCUUGCCUCAUCAGCUGUCCGCACAGCCAACUCAGCCAAGGCGACGCUUAUCUUGGUACUGACCAGGGGAGGAACAACUGCAAGGCUUGUAGCCAAGUACAGGCCAUCCAUGCCGAUACUGUCUGUGGUGGUUCCUGAGCUCAAGACGGUCGAGUUUGACUGGAUCUGCAGCGACGAGGGGCCUGCCAGGCAAAGCCUCAUCGUGAGGGGCGUGAUCCCUAUGCUCAGUGCUGGCACUGCCAAGGCGUUUGACAGCGAAGCCACGGAAGAGGCACUGAGGUUUGCCAUGAAGAACGCCAAGGAGAUGGGCCUUUGCAACGCUGGUGACUCCAUUGUGGCCCUUCACCGCAUCGGGAAUGCAUCUGUCAUCAAGCUCUUGACCGUGUAA